rnacentral:rRNA from 1 species
ACGGGAGGCAGCAGUGGGGAAUAUUGGACAAUGGGGGAAACCCUGAUCCAGCGACGCCGCGUGAGUGAAGAAGUAUUUCGGUAUGUAAAGCUCUAUCAGCAGGGAAGAAAAAUGACGGUACCUGACUAAGAAGCACCGGCUAAAUACGUGCCAGCAGCCGCGGUAAUACGUAUGGUGCAAGCGUUAUCCGGAUUUACUGGGUGUAAAGGGAGCGCAGGCGGUACGGCAAGUCUGAUGUGAAAGCCCGGGGCUCAACCCCGGUACUGCAUUGGAAACUGUCGAACUAGAGUGUCGGAGGGGUAAGCGGAAUUCCUAGUGUAGCGGUGAAAUGCGUAGAUAUUAGGAGGAACACCAGUGGCGAAGGCGGCUUACUGGACGAUAACUGACGCUGAGGCUCGAAAGCGUGGGGAGCAAACAGGAUUAGAUACCCUGGUA